UCCCUCUCAGGGUCACAUCUGGAGAGUUCCCAGUACUCUUCCAGUCUCCACUACAGGAGGGUGAGUCAGGCAGAGGCAUAUCCAUUCCAUUCCUAGCUCGGGCAGUGGCUAGCGAGUGGAAGGCAAUCUGUUACAAGU